rnacentral:rRNA from 1 species
CACGGAGGCCCCGAGCGUUGUUCGGAUUUACUGGGCGUAAAGGGUGCUUAGGCGGCGGGGUAAGUCAGAUGUGAAAGCCCGGGGCUCAACCUCGGAACUGCAUCCGAUACUGCCUUGCUAGAGGACUGGAGAGGAGUUUGGAAUUCACGGUGUAGCAGUGAAAUGCGUGGAUAUCGUGAGGAAGACCAAUGGCGAAGGCAGGGCUCUGGACAGAUCCUGACGCUGAGGCACGAAGGCCAGGGUAGCGAAAAGG